rnacentral:rRNA from 1 species
AUGACGGUCGUGGAGAUGUGCGUGCAUAUGUGUUGCGCCGGGUGCGAGAAGAAGAUAAGGAAGGCAGUCGAGAGGUUAGAAGGAGUGGACGCGGUGGAGAUCGACAUGGAGAUGCAGAAGGUGACGGUGAACGGGGACGUGGACCAGAAGAAGGUGCUCAAGACGGUGAGGAGGACGGGAAAGCGCGCGGUGCUGUGGCCGACCCCGUUCAUCGCCGGCGCAGGCGCCGGCGGCGCCGUCAACCUCCUCGCGCAGCAGCACCAGUACCACCCGGGCGGGGCCCAGAUGUACGCGACCCACGCCUCGGGGCCCACCUCCUCGUACAACUACUACAAGCACGGCUACGACGACUCGCGCCUCUACGGCGCCAACUCCGCCGUCGUCGGCGGCACCAGGGCCACCGAUUACUUCAGCGACGAGAACACGGGAGGCUGCUCAGUAAUGUGA